AGAGUUUGAUCCUGGCUCAAAAUCAACGCUGGCGGCGUGCCUAACACAUGCAAGUCGAACGCGAAAGCCCCGCAAGGGGUGAGUAGAGUGGCAAACGGGUGAGUAACACGUGGGUGACCUGCCAUCGGGUGGGGGAUAACGUUCCGAAAGGAACGCUAAUACCGCAUAACAUGCUGUCCUUGAACGGACGGACAUCAAAGCUGGGGACCGCAAGGCCUGGCGCUUGACGAGGGGCCCGCGCCUGAUUAGCUAGUUGGUGGGGUAAUGGCUCACCAAGGCGUCGAUCAGUAUCCGGCCUGAGAGGGCGGACGGACACACUGGGACUGAGACACGGCCCAAACUCCUACGGGAGGCAGCAGUGGGGAAUUGUUCGCAAUGGGCGCAUGCCUGACGACGCAACACCGCGUGGAGGAUGAAGACCUUCGGGUCGUAAACUCCUUUCGAUCGAGACGAAUGGUCCUUGGGACAAUACCCUGAGGAAGUGACGGUACCGAGAGAAGAAGCCCCGGCUAACUCCGUGCCAGCAGCCGCGGUAAUACGGGGGGGGCAAGCGUUGUUCGGAAUUACUGGGCGUAAAGGGCUCGUAGGUGGCCAACUAAGUCAGACGUGAAAUCCCUCGGCUUAACCGGGGAACUGCGUCUGAUACUGGAUGGCUUGAGUUCGGGAGAGGGAUGCGGAAUUCCAGGGGUAGCGGUGAAAUGCGUAGAUAUCUGGAGGAACACCGGGUGGGCGAAGCGGCAUCCUGGACCGAGACUGACACUGAGGAGCGAAAGCCAGGGGAGCAAACGGGAUUAGAUA
rnacentral:rRNA from 1 species